rnacentral:rRNA from 1 species
UACGUAGGGGGCAAGCGUUGUCCGGAAUCAUUGGGCGUAAAGAGCGUGUAGCCGGUUCGGUAAGUCGGCUGUGAAAGUCCAGGGCUCAACCCUGGGAUGCCGGUCGAUACUGCCGGACUAGAGUUCGGAAGAGGCGAGUGGAAUUCCCGGUGUAGCAGUGAAAUGCGUAGAGAUGUGGAGGAAUACCGAUGGCGAAGGCAGCCCCCUGGGAUAACACUGACGCUCAUGCACGAAAGCGUGGGGAGCAAACAGG